rnacentral:rRNA from 1 species
UACAGAGGUCUCAAGCGUUGUUCGGAUUCAUUGGGCGUAAAGGGUGCGUAGGCGGCGGAGUAAGUCAGGUGUGAAAUCUCGGGGCUCAACCCCGAAACUGCACUUGAUACUGCUUCGCUAGAGUAUUGGAGAGGAGAUUGGAAUUUACGGUGUAGCAGUGAAAUGCGUAGAUAUCGUAAGGAAGACCAGUGGCGAAGGCGAAUCUCUGGACAAUUACUGACGCUGAGGCACGAAGGCCAGGGGAGCAAACGGG